GGCAUGAUCAAUCUUGAUAAACCACCUUCCUCCUUCCUCUUCUUCUUGUAUAUAUGUUCUUUGUUCUUGUUGUCGUGGAUAGAGAAUAUUACUGUUCCUGCUUUACAGUCCCAUCAAGAAUAAUACUGGGCUACAAGCAAAUGGAGCUAUAAACAUACAAAAAUAUGUUAAAAUUGAAGGCACUCGAAUGUCGUUGAGGUACAAGGCCUGCAGUUAGAGCAACCCAAACUUGAAAGAUAUGUUUGCUUCCUCUAUUUCUUUUUC
rnacentral:misc_RNA from 1 species